rnacentral:lncRNA from 1 species
AUGGUUUCAGAGUGCACACCAGCUCUGCACCACAGGGCUCUUUACGGGAGCAUCAGUGAGGAACAGUUGCAAGAACAUGGCUGCGUACCACAUUAAGAAAAUACCUCAUCCGCCCCAACAAACCAGUAACUGCCAGGAAAUCCUCAGAGAGGGGCAGGACCUCCUGAGCCCCUCCCCACUGGAAUGUAGAUGGGCCCUGUCUUGUGCUGGAAUUGUGUAGGUAAAGAGCAAGCCCUUCUGAAAUUUCCCGCGAUGGCACUCUCUUCUUCCUCAGGCUCCGACAUUCU